rnacentral:lncRNA from 1 species
GUGUCACCUUAGACAACCUGCUUUCCUUGUCUGGGCCAGUAAAAUGAGGCUUGUUUUUUUUUUUAGGCAUGUGGCACCCAGAUCUCGGUUGAAAUCCUGCCUUUUACAGCUAGUGUUCUCAUGAAAGGCUCCCUCCACAAGAACCUGGACAGGAACAAAACCAUUGGACCCCCUUGAUUCAAUCAUUGGGUGAAGAAGCACAUAUUGAGUCACUCCCUCAUGAAGGACCCUGAGCUCAUAUAGAGACCCCCACAACUGACCCAAACUCUCUACUUUUAAGUACUCAAGGUGUCUAUCAAUCUAUAAUCAUUUUUCUUUGUUUCUCAGUUCCAGGUCCAUCCACAAGAGUAGCACCUAAGCCUACCCUGGAACCCACAGGGCCUGGAGGACGCUCCAAAGCUUCUUUGCUGACCACAUCUCCGCCAGCCACAUCCCCAGGUCCAUCAAUUUUCUCAAGCACCACAGGUACAAAGAUAUUGGAUAUCUGGGUCAUGUCCUAGAAAUUGUGCCAUGCUUUUCUGUAGGAUUAGAGGACAAGAGACAUAGAGCAAGGGGAAAAUUGGAAAACUGGAAAGGGUACCAUCAGUGGGUCCAGGAUGUUAAGAGUCAUGGAUGAAGAAAAGGUAUAAAGGACAGGAAAGUAGGAGGGUUGGGUUCUUAAUGUGUUAGUGAGAAUUCAAAUUCAAUAAAAAUUAGAAAGGUCCGUCA